rnacentral:tRNA from 1 species
AAGGGUAGAGCUCAGUGGUAGAGCCCACGCUUAGCAUGCAUGAAGUCCUGGGUUCAAUCCCCAGUACCUCCA